GAGCGGUUAGCUCAGUUGGUAGAGCACUACCUCGACACGGUUGAGGUCACUGGUUCAAGUCCAGUACUGCACGCCA
rnacentral:tRNA from 1 species